rnacentral:lncRNA from 1 species
GUACGUUGUAGAGGAUGAUGUGUGAUCCUGACAACCGGGGCCACAUACAUUACGGGGAACUGAUGAUCCGGCAGAAGCCAGACUUUCUGUGUAGCCCAGCUGCAUUAACACCUUGGCUCCAGGGCACUACGUCAGUCAAUCUGUACUGCCCUUGAAUCCAGGCUAAAUUACGGCAGCUUGGCCACCUGUACCAAGUUAUGAACGAAAGAGUAGUCCCUGAGGAGACAGUUUCCUAGUUUGCUGACUGAACUAAAACUAAAACUAAACUUCAAUUUAGGUAACACUGUUACUUCUACUCAAUACACCAAUAUAUACCCACCCAGGCUUUAAAAGCCCGUUGACGGGACACUUUCUGGACUAUAGCACAUCGCCUGCUGCCAAUACACAACGUGGGAAGCUACGACCUGUUAUAAAGCUUAAACCUUUGGGGUUUCGAUUCGAAACGAAUUUAAGAAGCUAAGCUAGUGCUCCCUACCUUUAGAAGACGGUAGAGCUGGACACUGGUAAGUCCAAAACUGCUGCACGUCAAUCUGUCACCAACAAUCCAGGUAAUUAAAUCCAAAAAAGGCCCAAACUACCGCUCUCCUAGUGGUAUGAUCCAGCAAUCACAUAACAAUAUAUAUUUUUUAAUUAAAACAUUCCACCUUUUUUUAUUAUUAUUUUUGACAUAUAAAUAAAAGUUAACGCUGCAAUAUCCACCACACUAGAUUCACAUACUCUCACGGUAAAAAAAAAAAUGAGACCACCCCUACAGCUCCAGAGAAUGGUUUCGUCCAUUAGUAGCCCCGUUACCAGGCGUCGGCGCCCUUUCAGACGCCGCUUGACUAAAGGGUCGGACACUUCCUGUGACAGCGAGCCAAUAAGACGAGGCCUCCAUAAAACGGCGACUGCGUUUAAGCAAAUGAAAUACGCGUCCACCGAUAUGCAACACCGUAAUUCCCAGCAGGAAAGAACUUUGAACCGUAUCCCAGAGGAGCAGCAUCCCCCCUUUUGAAGACUGAAAUAAACAGCACCUUUGAGAUGACCCCA